rnacentral:rRNA from 1 species
CAGUGUACCCGCGGCAAGACGGAAAGACCCCGUGAACCUUUACUAUAGCUUGACACUGAACAUUGAGCCUUGAUGUGUAGGAUAGGUGGGAGGCUUUGAAGCGUGGACGCCAGUCUGCGUGGAGCCGACCUUGAAAUACCACCCUUUAAUGUUUGAUGUUCUAACGUGGACCCGUUACCCGGGUUGCGGACAGUGUCUGGUGGGUAGUUUGACUGGGGCGGUCUCCUCCUAAAGAGUAACGGAGGAGCACGAAGGUUGGCUAAUCCUGGUCGGACAUCAGGAGGUUAGUGCAAUGGCAUAAGCCAGCUUGACUGCGAGCGUGACGGCGCGAGCAGGUGCGAAAGCAGGUCAUAGUGAUCCGGUGGUUCUGAAUGGAAGGGCCAUCGCUCAACGGAUAAAAGGUACUCCGGGGAUAACAGGCUGAUACCGCCCAAGAGUUCAUAUCGACGGCGGUGUUUGGCACCUCGAUGUCGGCUCAUCACAUCCUGGGGCUGAAGUAGGUCCCAAGGGUAUGGCUGUUCGCCAUUUAAAGUGGUACGCGAGCUGGGUUUAGAACGUCGUGAGACAGUUCGGUCCCUAUCUGCCGUGGGCGCUGGAGAACUGAGGGGGGCUGCUCCUAGUACGAGAGGACCGGAGUGGACGCAUCACUGGUGUUCGGGUUGUCAUGCCAAUGGCACUGCCCGGUAGCUAAAUGCGGAAGAGAUAAGUGCUGAAAGCAUCUAAGCACGAAACUUGCCCCGA